GAUGAACGCUGGCGGCGUGCCUAACACAUGCAAGUCGAACGAGAUGCGUAUCGGAAAGCUUCGGCCGGAAGAUACGUUAUCUAGUGGCGGACGGGUGAGUAACACGUGGGUAACCUGCCUUAUGGAGGGGGAUAACAGAGAGAAAUCACUGCUAAUACCGCAUAAGCACACAGUACCGCAUGGUACAGGGUGAAAAGAUUUAUCGCCAUAAGAUGGACCCGCGUCUGAUUAGCCAGUUGGCAGGGUAAAAGCCUACCAAAGCAACGAUCAGUAGCCGAUCUGAGAGGAUGACCGGCCACAUUGGGACUGAGACACGGCCCAAACUCCUACGGGAGGCAGCAGUGGGGAAUAUUGCACAAUGGGGGGAACCCUGAUGCAGCGACGCCGCGUGAGUGAAGAAGUAUUUCGGUAUGUAAAGCUCUAUCAGCAGGGAAGAUAAUGACAGACCUGACUAAGAGCCCCG
rnacentral:rRNA from 1 species